rnacentral:rRNA from 1 species
UACGUAGGUGGCAAGCGUUGUCCGGAUGUACUGGGCGUAAAGAGCGCGCAGGCGGUCAUUCAAGUCGAGUGUGAAAGCCCCCGGCUCAACUGGGGAGGGUCACUCGAUACUGUUUGACUCGAAGGCGGGAGAGGGAAGUGGAAUUCCCGGUGUAGUGGUGGAAUGCGCAGAUAUCAGGAGGAACACCGGUGGCGAAGGCGGCCCACUGGUCCGGUACUGACGCUGAGGUGCGAAAGUGUGGGGAUCAAACAGG